rnacentral:rRNA from 1 species
GAAGGCUUCGGCCUUAGUGGCGCACGGGUGCGUAACGCGUGGGAAUCUGCCCUCAGGUUCGGAAUAACAGCGAGAAAUUGCUGCUAAUACCGGAUGAUAUCGCGAGAUCAAAGAUUUAUCGCCUGAGGAUGAGCCCGCGUAGGAUUAGCUAGUUGGUGUGGUAAAGGCGCACCAAGGCGACGAUCCUUAGCUGGUCUGAGAGGAUGAUCAGCCACACUGGGACUGAGACACGGCCCAGACUCCUACGGGAGGCAGCAGUGGGGAAUAUUGGACAAUGGGCGAAAGCCUGAUCCAGCAAUGCCGCGUGAGUGAUGAAGGCCUUAGGGUUGUAAAGCUCUUUUACCCGGGAUGAUAAUGACAGUACCGGGAGAAUAAGCUCCGGCUAACUCCGUGCCAGCAGCCGCGGUAAUACGGAGGGAGCUAGCGUUAUUCGGAAUUACUGGGCGUAAAGCGCACGUAGGCGGCUUUGUAAGUUAGAGGUGAAAGCCUGGAGCUCAACUCCAGAAUUGC